rnacentral:misc_RNA from 1 species
GGCUGUUAUUCUAACAGAAGUAAACUUAAUGAGAAUAUAUCACAAUAUUAAGACAUAUCAACAUCCAUUACUUUAAAUAUUAAUCUCAAUAAGAUGCCUUAUAGGGUAACUGCUUUUUCCCCAGUUUAUUUUUGCUCAACUUCUUAAACAAAGGAUGGGAUUUCUUUCAAUUCAUCAAAGAUGGUUAUUGAAAAUGAGGUUCCACUGGAUGAGCACAACUGAGUGCUGGGACUCCAAGGAAGGUUUACAAUGACCCUUGAUCAUAUAUAUCAGGCUCACAACUGACUAAUACAACCGAAGAAACCUUUACUCGGUAUAAGCUUGUUUAGAUAGUCUACAUCUUCGAAGUCCAGAAAUGCAAUUUCAUAUCUUCAUAGCUGAAUGCCAUAUAUUUCAAC